GCCUCUCCUAUCCUCAAGCAGACAUGGCUGCGGACAAUCAGACACUGAGAGGGAGGCUCGCCUCGUUUGCCACAGAUUUGUAUAAGAAUCCUUUCAAAAGGCAAUUUAUAAAGAAUGCUGUCCUCUUUGGUGUGGGUGUGUGGCUAGCCAGGGAGUUUGCUGACAUAGAUGUUACGGGACCAGCAGUUCCUGCGUCGUGAUGCAGUCACGCAAGAAGUUUAGACAGCCAUUUGGCCAUCAUUUAGCAAUCCAGCCGGAGUUAAUCCCCAUAAUUCGAAUCACCAACCAAGAACGUGCAUGACCCCAGCUUACUACCAGCUGACGAGACUAAAGAACCAGAGAGAGCAAGGGUAUGUUCAGCAGUCAUUAUGGGCAGACGUGUCAGAUACGCCAGCCGAACUCCCAACAUGACCGAUACCACACCAAUGCCAUAUUUAUCGUGUAGCACACCAUGGAUGUGCACGGAUGAGCCCAAGACAAGCUAGGUGAGCUGCAACUGUGAUUCAGGGCUCGGAUUUUACAAAACUGGAAGGAGGACUCUCGUAGUACUUGGAGGCACCACACCACAGGCCCUAUCAAAGGACACCUGUACUACUUUUCCUAUGUUGGUCCAAGUUGGUAUUGGCUGGAGGUAUUUUUCUUCACUGUCUUCUGUAUAUACCCGGGAGGGGGGAAUUUAGUGCUAUUUGUAUUCGAAUUAAGCAGGGGUGCGCUCUAUACUUCCUUGAAUUUGUGAGAUGAAAUGGCCAUUUUAGUUUGCAUUUUUUUAUCAAAGUUUCCAAAAUUGUAAAUUAUUGUUUCUGGCUUUUGACAGAGGUACAUGUAAGGACACCAACACUAAAAUAAAAAAAAAAAUCACAUACACCAAUAGAAGGCCAAUUUAUUUUGGAACACUUGGUUCUCUUUGAUGUGUUGACCAUUUGAGAAUGCUCAGACCGUAAAAUCUGUACCAGGUUUCUCUCUAAGGGGAAGUUAGAUCGGCAUUUGUCGGCCACCGGUCGAUCUUCCUGGAAUCCAGAAUGCACUCGUAUUGUGUGCACAGGUUACCAGGGAAAUCAACCGGUGGUCAACAAAUAGUCGCUUGAGGUUUUGUGCGUAAUCAAUCGAUAUCAAACUGUAAACGGAUGGUAUUUUGAAGAGAAAGCAAGUUUGCUUUUACUCAGGUCAGUUUUCUUGGGCGCUUCGUUUUGGUUCUGUUUUUAAAUGUCAUUUCAACCAUGCUAACAUACAGUAAAAAACAAUUGUUCUGCCCUUCAUCACCAUGCUUUUUACUGGCAUUUACAGGACUGAGGCCAAUUAUAUGGCAGGAUUUACCAACUUCGUGUACAUGUACCACUUGUAUGUGCAGUGUCAUUGUUUCAAAUUCUUCUUGUUAAUAAACUGAGCCAUUGGUCAUGGAAUUUAA